UGGGGAAUAUUGGACAAUGGAGGGAACUCUGAUCCAGCAAUUCUGUGUGUGUGAAGAAGGUUUUAGGACUGUAAAACACUUUUAGUAGGGAAGAAAAAAAUGACGGUACCUACAGAAGAAGCAACGGCUAAAUACGUGCCAGCAGCCGCGGUAAUACGUAUGUUGCGAUCGUUAUCCGGAAUUAUUGGGCUUAAAGGGCAUCUAGGCGGUAAGACAAGUUGAAGGUGAAAACCUGUGGCUCAACCAUAGGCUUGCCUACAAAACUGUUGAACUAGAGUACUGGAAAGGUGGGUUGAACUACACGAGUAGAGGUGAAAUUCGUAGAUAUGUGUAGGAAUGCCGAUGAUGAAGAUAACUCACUGGACAGAAACUGACGCUGAAGUGCGAAAGCUAGGGGAGCAAACAGG
rnacentral:rRNA from 1 species